rnacentral:pre_miRNA from 15 species
CCCUCAUGGCUCCAGAAAUCAAGGGUGGGUGAGACCUCGUAAGCAAACUUGAAGGCGACCCAUACUUGGUUUCAGGAGCUGUGUGGC